rnacentral:rRNA from 1 species
GAUGAACGCUAGCUACAGGCUUAACACAUGCAAGUCGAGGGACCGGCGCACGGGUGAGUCACGCGUAUACAACCUACCCAAUACUCAAGCAUAACCCGUUGAAAGACGGACUAAUUCCUGAUGGUAUGGGAUGGUGAUGCGUGUGAUUAGUUGGUUGGUGAGGUAACGGCCCACCAAAACUUCGAUCAGUAGGGGUUCGGAGAGGCAGUCCCCCCACAUUGGAACUUAGGCACGGUCCAAACUCCUACGGGUGGCUGCAGUGAUGAAUAGUGGUCAAGGGAUGCAAAUCUGAACCAGCCAAGUAGCGUGCAGGAUGACGGCCUAUGGGUUUUCAACUGCUUUUAUGUGAGAAUAUGUAUCACAUGAAUGAGGACCGGCUAACUCCGUGCCAGCAGCCGCGGUAAUUC